rnacentral:rRNA from 1 species
AUUGAACGCUGGCGGAAUGCUUUACACAUGCAAGUCGAGCGGGGUUUUCGGACCUAGCGGCGGACGGGUGAGUAAUGCGUAGGAAGCUGCCCGAUAGAGGGGGAUACCAGUUGGAAACGACUGUUAAUACCGCAUAAUGUCUACGGAUCAAAGUGUGGGACCUUCGGGCCACAUGCUAUCGGAUGCGCCUACGUGGGAUUAGCUCGUUGGUGAGGUAAUGGCUCACCAAGGCGACGAUGUCUAGCUGGUUUGGGAGGAUGAUCAGCCACACUGGAACUGAUACGCGGUCCAGACUCCUACGGGAGGGAGCAGUGGGUAGUAGUGGACAAUGUGCGCAAGCCUGAUCCAGCGAUGCCGCGUGUGUGAAGAAGGCCUUCGGGUUGUAAAGCACUUUCAGCGAGGAGGAAGGGUGGUGUGUUAAUAGCACAUCAUUUUGACGUUACUCGCAGAAGAAGCACCGGCUAACUCUGUGCCAGCCGCCGCUGUAACAC